UACGAAGGGGGCUAGCGUUGCUCGGAAUCACUGGGCGUAAAGGGUGCGUAGGCGGGUCUUUAAGUCAGGGGUGAAAGCCUCCGGCUUAACUGGAGAAGUGCCUUUGAUACUGGCGGACUCGAGUGAGGUAGGGGUAGUGGGAACUUCCGGUGGAGCGGUGAAAUGCGUUGAUAUCGGAAGGAACGCCGGUGGCGAAAGCGCACUACUGGACCUCUUCUGACGCUGAGGCGCGAAAGCCAGGGGAGCAAACGGG
rnacentral:rRNA from 1 species